GCGGGUGUAGUUCAGUUGGUUAGAACGCUAGCCUGUCACGCUAGAGGCCGCGAGUUCGAGUCUCGUCACUCGCGCCA
rnacentral:tRNA from 1 species